rnacentral:misc_RNA from 1 species
GAUGAAGAACGUAGCGAAAUGCGAUAAGUAAUGUGAAUUGCAGAAUUCAGUGAAUCAUCGAAUCUUUGAACGCAUCUUGCGCUCCUUGGUAUUCUGAGGAGCAUGCCUGUUUGAGUGUCAUUAAAUUCUCAACUACACUGACUUUGAAUUGGUGUGGCUUGGAUUUGGGGGGAAAAUUGUUGUGGGCUUUUUGUAUAGUCUGCUCCCCUGAAAUUGAUUAGCGGUACCUUUGUGGAACUGUCUACAGGUGUGAUAAUUAUCUACAUCUUAGACAUCUGCUGGAAUGCUGCUUUCUAAACCUUACUUGUAUUGACAAUCUUGACCUCAAAUCAGGUAGGACCACCCGCUGAACUUAAGCAUAUCAAUAAGCGGAGGA